rnacentral:rRNA from 1 species
CACCAAUCAAACCAGCCCCACUUCACCUACUAAUUUUAACAUCUCAAUAAAACAAAACAUUUAACAACUUAAGUACUUGAGAAUGAACAAUUUUAUGGGCGCAAUAGCAAACUCGUACCGUAAGGGAAUUUUGAAAGAACAAUGAAACAACAAAGUGAAAUAUAGCAAAGAUUAACCCUUGUACCUCUUGCAUCAUGGUUUAGCAAGAAAUUUGUAGGCACAGCGCGACCUCUAGUCUACCGCCCCGAAAUCAAGCGAGCUACCCAAGAACAACCAAUAUUGGGUGAACCUUUCCCUGUGGCAAAAGGGUAGGACGAUUCAUGGGUAGAAGUGAAAAGCCUAACGAGCUUGAUGAUAGCUGGUUGCCCAAUAAAAGAACUUAAAUUCAACCUUAGGUCAAUCUACAUCAACAAAAGUCAAAUAUUUAACCUAAGAGAUAUUCAACGGGGGUACAGCCCCAUUGAAAUAGGAUACAACCUAUCAUAGUGAGUAAAUUUUAAUUUAUACCCAGUGGGCCCUUAAGCAGCCACCAGUAGAAAAAGCGUCAUAGCACACAAUAUCAAAAAUACCAAUAAUAUCAACAUACUCCUAUAUAUUAACUGGGCCACUCUAUUCAUUAAUAGAAGAACUACUGCUAAAAUUAGUAACAAGAAAUCAUCUCUCAGCAUAACCUUAACUCAGAAAUAGAAAAACCGCUGACAAUUAUACAAAUACCAGAAACAAAAAAAACGCCCCCGUAACCAAAACUGUUACACCAACACAGGAAUGCAGAAAAGAAAGAUUAAAAGCUGUAAAAGGAAUUCAGCAAACCCAGCCUCAACUGUUUACCAAAAACAUAGCCUUUAGCCAAACUAGUAUUAAAGGUUUCGCCUGCCCAGUGACUUAAUUCAACGGCCGCGGUAUUCUAACCGUGCAAAGGUAGCGUAAUCACUUGUCUCCUAAAUAGAGACCCGUAUGAACGGCUAAAUGAAGACUGACCUGUCUCUUACAUCUAAUCAGUGAAAUUGAUCUUUCAGUACAAAAGCUGAAAUAAAACCAUAAGACGAGAAGACCCUGUGGAGCUUAAAAUAACCAUCAAUCUUAACAAAUGAUGAUAAUUUUAGUUGGGGCGACUUCGGAAACAAACAAAACUUCCGAGCAAUGGCCCAAAAAGCCGAAUCAAGACCAACAAGUCAAAACACUAAAAUGAAACGAUCCAGUAAAACUGAUCAACGAAACAAGUUACCCCAGGGAUAACAGCGCCAUCUUCUUCAAGAGUUCAUAUCGACAAGAAGGUUUACGACCUCGAUGUUGGAUCAGGACAUCCUAAAGGUGCAACCGCUAUUAAGGGUUCGUUUGUUCAACGAUUAAUGUCCUACGUGAUCUGAGUUCAGACCGGAGUAAUCCAGGUCAGUUUCUAUCUAUGUUUGGUCACCUUCUUCAGUACGAAAGGACCAAGAAGACGGGACCCAUAUUAUAAACAAGUCCCACAAAAUAAAUUGAAUAAAACUAAAAUAAUCACGACCAAAAACCCGCCAAAGAUACGGGCUAAUU